rnacentral:lncRNA from 1 species
CCUGGCAUUGUCUUAGACUUACCCUUAGAAGCUACUUCCAGCUAAAUUUCAGGUUUUGUCUUCUUUUAAUAAAGAUUACAAGUGAGUAUUGCUAAUAAAGCGUAUUCUGUCCUCACAAAGUUUUCUGUCUUUUCACAGACUGCCAUCCUUCAGUGGUGAAAAAGUAGGAGUGGAAACACCACCCCAGCCAGAAAACUCUCUUAAGCCCACAUCUCAUUGCAAAGACAAGGCUUUCCCAAGUGUCUCUGGCCACUUUUUCCCUGUCUGCAGCAGCCUGAAGCACUUUAGCAUUGAGAUACUUGGGGUUUUUACCCUGCCCUGGUGCCUCUUCCAAAACAAAAGUUUGCCCUCCCUGGGACAUGAGCAGACCCGAGCAAAAGGAUCUUCUCUUCUGCACCCCUCCUUGGAGCAACAGCCAGUGUCCUGUGAAUCUUUGUGGGUCUCCCUCACUUUGCUCCAAAAAGUGGCAAUUGACUGAAUACCCUGGGAGAAGGAGCCCUCAGCACUGCACAGU